UUCGUCCCGAGGAAGUACGCCUGCGCGUUAGCCCGAGGUUGAAGAUGGAGUUAAAGGAGUUCAGCCAGCUUCUUUCCUCUACCUUGCUUCCUCACUGUCCCGGCCCUCUAGUGGCGAUCUGCGCUUGCGCAAGGGAGCAGGUUUCUCCAUGCUCACUGAACAAAAGGGAAUGACCAACAGCAGGACCUUCUUCACCAAGUCCUGGAAAUAGCACCUGCUUUUCCAAGUCAGAUACAAAGCCCAAACAUCUCCACUGUAAACAGUAUGCGGCUCCGAAGGGCUGUGGCAGACCAGGACUGGGACAAGUCACUGCAGUGACUCACACUUAAUAGCAUCUUGCAGCUGCCAGAGGAGAUUUUCCAGGCACAGGAUGGGCUCAUAGAUUCAAAGAGACACGGCCUCAGUGAUCUCAUGCCCCAGGAACAUGAUAGUGCGUUGUUCAGAGUUACUCCUGGUGGCCUCUCUGAUCUCAAACUACCAGAUAAUCAAAUCCGUGAUUGAUGGCACCAAGGGAACAACCAAAAGGAACUGAUGUACAAAGGAGCCUGCUCAAUCCAGUGAAGUAAAAACAUUAGCAGCCCUGAACACCUCAUGAAGAUGGCUAUGCCAUAAGAUGGAAGGAACCUGGAUCCCUGAGUCAGAGAAGAGAGAGCUACCAAGAGAGCCACCCAACCAAGAACACAUACACUGAACUUUGCCUGCAUGCUAAGUCACUUCAAUCAUGUCCAGCUCUUUAUGACCCUGUGGACCAUAGCCCACCAGGCUCCUCUGUCCAUGGGAUUCUCCAGGGAGCUGGAGCCAGCAGUAGAGACACUGUUUAAACAUUGAACCAGGAGCUAUUCAGGCCGAGCACCGUGGAGGACACACAGACUGUGUCCAUCAUUCAGCAACUUCAUUUGAACCAGAACCAGUAAUGAAACAACAACAAGCUGGACAAUCUGUCGUUUCCAGGCUUUGAUGUCUUAUAAGCCGGUGGAGAUAAAAUUCACUGUAUCUGUAGGCACACUCGAACUGGGAGCGUUGAGGUGCGGCCAGGGUGUAGGGCCCUCAGAGGAGUGAGUGGUUAUCAAAACGCGCAGGAAGCAUCCUGUGUGGAGAGGAGCUAAGACUUUUGGUUGGUGGAGCAGGAGAGAGCUGGGGAGGGGAGCAUAAAAACCUUUGUUUUACUCUCCCUCUUUCUCACCUCCUGCCAAUAAUCUCUGUUGGCCAAACACAGCUGGAAGCCAGCAAGCAAGUUGGUGCAUCCUUUGUGGGAACAGAAUAAAAUGGAGACGUGUAUAGGGAGGAUGUGGAGGAGCACAGGGAAGCCAUCUGGCACAGGGGCUGUUGCAACUGUCUAGAUAAGAGACCACCUGCGUGCGUGCUAAGUCGCUUCAGUUGUGCCCAACUCUUUGCAACCCUACGGACUGUAACCUGCCAGGAUCCUCUGUCUAUGGGAUUUCCCAGGCAAGAAUACUAGAGUGGAUUGCCAUGCCCUCCUCCAAGGGGUCAAACCCGUGUCUCUUGUGUCUCCUGCAUUAGUAGGCAUGUUCUUUACCACUAGCGCCACAUGGGAAGCCCAAGAGCACCUACUGAAUUUAAAUCUCAACUCUGCCAUAAACUGUGUGCUGUGUGACUUUGUGGAAGAUACUUAACUGCUCUGAACCAUAGUGUCCUAGUCUUUUAAAACGAGGUAAAUAGCUCACAGAUUAUUGUCAGGAUAAGGUUAAUGUGUAUCAUUUAGUGCUGUACCUGCCACACAGUAAGUGCUAGAUAAAUGCUAUUAUUUUCCCUUCUUCAUUGAACUUAUUCUCUGCUUGCCUCUUUUAAGCCAAGCCUAGAAAUCUACUUUCUUUUCAACAUUAGCAUGCUUUAGAAAGAUCCUCUUACUCAUAAAGGCCCUGGGAAAGUGUCAGGAUCAUUCCUAUGUCAGAUACAUUAUUGCAGUAAAAUUGUUUUGGAUCAAAAUAUUAUUUAAGCAGAAAAACAUUUACUUUUAAUUCUUCAGAAAGAAUUACAAGGACUAAUUUGGCCUUUAGCAAAUAAUUCAACAUAAAUUACCACCUACUUACCAAAAGCAGCAGUUUAUGUUGCCCUCGUAGCUCAGUUGAUAAAGAGUCUGCUUGUAAUACAGGAGACCCGGGUUCGAUUCCUGGGUCAGGAAGAUCCACUGGAGAAGGAAAUAGCAACCCACUCCAGUAUUCUUGCCUGGAGAAUCCCAUGGACAGAGGAGCCUGGCAGGCUACAGUCCAUGGGGUCACAAGAUACAGACACAACUUAGCGACUAAACCACCACACCAGAAGCAGCAGUUUUAUUUCCUAGGACCACUGGACACUGGCAUCAGCCAUACCCUAUUCGUUUGUGUCAGAUAAUGAGAUACUCUGCAUGGAGAACACUUAAUUGGAUCGCCGUGGAGUGAAUCUCAGAAGACUUGCUGUGAGCCAAUUGCUUAUUCCAAGCAUCUGAAGAAUAUUUGUUGUUGUAAACCUCACAGCAGCUUGCCAGGUCGUUUCCAAGUUCUGAUGCAAAGUCUAUAAUGUAUUCCUAGAAUCAUCUAAUGUUGUUAUCGAUGAUCCCUCAGGCUGAAAUGUUUUCUGCUGUUUCACUCAGUGUAAUUCUAAAACAAUGAUGGUUGCCUGCAGGCUGGACCAUUAGAGGAGACUGGACCAUGCUCAGGCUACAGGCUUUCCUUGUGGGCUGCUCUGAAGACAGGGAGGAAAACUGAGGAUGUUGAGUGCAGUGUUGAGAAAGGCCCAGAAAAUGAUAAUUGCAUGUGCAUCUGCUUCUCCCGUCACUAAGCAACUUCACAGCCAUUAUGCCAGUUGAGGUGGGUAGGAUAAUUACUUCCUUGCUCUUUACAGAUGAGAAAACUGACUCCCAGGGAUGUUAACUAGCUUGCCCAAGGCCUUCCAGCAAUUUGGGUUGACCCAAGGGUUAGAAUAUAGGCCUUCCAAUUCUAAAGAACUUGUUCAGGGAUGAAAAAGAAAAUUUACAUUGCAAAGUCACUGUUGACUGCCUGUUCUCUGUAAAUGAAACAAAGACCACCAGAGCUUAAAUAGUAAAAAGAAGAAGAAGAAAGCAAAGUUUAUUUCUUUGACAAGAAAACACUAAUCAGUUAAAAACAAAAACAAAUUCAGUGACUAUUUACUUAGAAGGAAAAGUCAGAAUUUUGUAAGUGCUUUAGAAAGAUUCAAGGUGCUUAUGCCAAGUAAGCAUUGAAAACUACUUCUUUGGAUAGAAUGGAGCCAGACCCUAGGUCUUAUGUGAUUGAUUUAACAAGCCCCAUUGUUCAUUGGUCUGGAGAGUCUGAGUGAGGGCUCACUAGAACUUGAUAUUCCUUUUUCAGCUUCAGCCAGUUACUAUGGUUAAGUAUAGCAUUCAGGUUUUUUUUUUCAAUAUAAAUUUAUUUAUUUUAAUUGGAGGCUAAUUACUUUACAAUAUUGUAUUGUAAAAAAAAAUUACUUUACAAUAUUGUAUUGGUUUUGCCAUACAUCAACAUGAAUCCACCACAGGUGUUUGUUUUUUUAGGAUUUUUGAUGUGGACCAUUUUUAAAGUCUCUAUUGAAUUUGCUACAAUAUUGCUUAUGUUCUGUUUCUUUGUUCUGGUUUUUUGACUGACAGCUCAUGGGAUCUUAUCUCCCUGACGGGAGAUCCAACCGCCACCCUCUGUGUUGGAAGAAGUCUUAACCACUGGACCAUCAGGAAAGUCCCUAGCAUUCAGUUUUGACAUCUUUUCAAACUCUCAAAAUCCUCAAAUAUUCACUGGAAUUACACAGAGGGCUUGCUGAGGCACAGAUUGCUGGGCCUAACCCCAGAGUUUCUGAUUCAGUGGUUUGGGCAUAAAGCCUGUAUCUCCAAGUUCCCAAAUGAAGUUUUGUGGCUAUCCUAGGGCCAUGAUUUGAGAACCUCUAUCCCAGACACAUAAUGCUAUAAAGGGAGAGUUUUCAUUUUAUACCUCUUGUUGCCAACAUCCUCUCUAGGAUCUAGCUACCAGAUGACUCCCUCACACUCAGAAGGGACAGAGGUCUCUCCUGAUAAUAACCUUUAUAUUCCCCAUACAGGAGACCUGCCUUUUUCUUCUAUCAGUAGGGAGCCUUUUUUAUGGGGGCAGAAUAGAUAAAGAAUUGCUUGUGGAAUCUAAAGUCAACACAACUUCACACCACAAGCUUUAUCUGUUCAUUUCCCUUCAUGGUGGCAGUACUGAAUUAUUUGACUAGCCUUUUUUAAAAACUAUCAUCCCAUGCAUUGAUUCAAUCUCAUUACCUUUAGAGUUUGCUUUUAUUACAUUACCCUCUCUGAUCAAUAAUCACAUUUUUCCACCUUCAUAACCUUUUCCCAUCUGAUUUUUCAUGAGCAUACAAUCUGAUUUAUUUCUGCUGCAAUUCAGCCUUACAGUUCUCCAAGCUUACAAUUCUCCUUGUAAUAAUCCAGUCUUCUCCAUUUACACCUUCAUCGUUCCUCUGUUAGGCACAUAUUCUAAGUAAACAGUAGUUAUUUGUGUACCUGUUUGUGUCUUGCAGUGGACUGGUGCCUAUGGAGAGAGGGAGCUUACUAGAAGGCUUUGUUUUCCUCAUACCACUAGUCCAGGCCCUACUAUAAUAGGUGCUUAAUAAAUACCAGUUUGAAUUUGUUGGCAGUUUUUAAUCAGAUUCUUUUAAUUCACAUAAGUAAACUUCAUACUUUUGGGCAUAGAGUUCUGAGUCAUGACAAACAUGAAAAGCCCUGUAACCACCACCACAAUUAUAAUAGAACAGUUCCAUAACCUUAAAAAGCUCCAUCAUACAUGCUACUGUUUGUAGUCAAAAACUUCCCUUUUCCUUAGUUCCUGGAGAUCCCUAGUCUAUUCUCUAUCCCUAUAGUUUUACCCCUUUUUGAUUGUCAUAUAAAGAGAAUGGUACAGAAUGUAGCCUUUGAAUAUGGCUUAUUUCACUUAGAAAAGUGCUUUUGAAAGCCAUCCAUUUUGGUGAGUCUGUCAAUAGUUCAUUCUUUGUUACUGAGUAUUGUUCCCCUAUAUGGACGUUCUGCAGUUUGUUUAUCCAUUCACUAGUUGAAGGACCUUUGGGUUGUUUCUGGUUGUAAAUAUUUGCAUAGAGGCUUUUGGGUGAACAUAAAUUUCCAUUUCUCUUGGAUAAAUACCUAAAAGUGGGAUUGUGGGGUAGUAUGAUAAAUCUCGGAGAAGGCAAUGGCACCCCACCGCAGUACUUUUGCCUAGAAAAUCCCAUGGACGGAGGAGCCUGGUAGGCUGCAGUCCAUGGGGUCACUAGAGUCGGACACAACUG